rnacentral:rRNA from 1 species
AACAGGAUUAGAUACCCUGGUAGUCCACGCCCUAAACGAUGUCAACUGGUUGUUGGGAGGGUUUCUUCUCAGUAACGUAGCUAACGCGUGAAGUUGACCGCCUGGGGAGUACGGCCGCAAGGUUGAAACUCAAAGGAAUUGACGGGGACCCGCACAAGCGGUGGAUGAUGUGGUUUAAUUCGAUGCAACGCGAAAAACCUUACCUACCCUUGACGUGCCAGGAAUCUUGCAGAGAUGUGAGAGUGCUCGAAAGAGAACCUGGACACAGGUGCUGCAUGGCCGUCGUCAGCUCGUGUCGUGAGAUGUUGGGUUAAGUCCCGCAACGAGCGCAACCCUUGUCAUUAGUUGCUACGAAAGGGCACUCUAAUGAGACUGCCGGUGACAAACCGGAGGAAGGUGGGGAUGACGUCAGGUCAUCAUGGCCCUUAUGGGUAGGGCUACACACGUCAUACAAUGGCCGGGACAGAGGGCUGCCAACCCGCGAGGGGGAGCUAAUCCCAGAAACCCGGUCGUAGUCCGGAUCGCAGUCUGCAACUCGACUGCGUGAAGUCGGAAUCGCUAGUAAUCGCGGAUCAGCUUGCCGCGGUGAAUACGUUCCCGGGUCUUGUACACACCGCCCGUCACACCAUGGGAGCGGGUUCUGCCAGAAGUAGUUAGCCUAACCGCAAGGAGGGCGAUUACCACGGCAGGGUUCGUGACUGGGGUGAAGUCGUAACAAGGUAACC